rnacentral:rRNA from 1 species
AGUUUGAUCCUGGCUCAGAAUGAACGCUGGCGGCGUGCUUAACACAUGCAAGUCGAACGAGAAAGGGAUUGCUUGCAAUCCUGAGUAGAGUGGCGCACGGGUGAGUAACACGUAGAUAAUCUACCUUCAAGCCCGGGAUAACCCUUCGAAAGGAUGGCUAAUACCGGAUGCAGUUCAUAUGCACAAGUGUAUGGAUGAAAGACUGCCUCUUCUUAGAAAGCAGUUGUUUGGAGAUGAGUUUGCGUACCAUUAGCUUGUUGGUGGGGUAACGGCCUACCAAGGCUGUGAUGGUUAGCUGGUCUGAGAGGAUGAUCAGUCACACUGGAACUGGAACACGGUCCAGACUCCUACGGGAGGCAGCAGUGAGGAAUUUUGCGCAAUGGGGGAAACCCUGACGCAGCAACGCCGCGUGAGUGAAGAAGGCCUUUGGGUCGUAAAGCUCUGUCAACUGGGAAGAAGUUACAUAUUAUGAACAGUGGUAUGUAUUGACGGUACCAGUGGAGGAAGCGCCGGCUAACUCCGUGCCAGCAGCCGCGGUAACACGGGGGGCGCAAGCGUUAUUCGGAAUUAUUGGGCGUAAAGGGCGCGUAGGCGGUUCUGUCGGUCAGAUGUGAAAGCCCGGGGCUCAACCCUGGAAGUGCAUUUGAAACAGCAGAACUUGAGUACGGGAGAGGAAAGCGGAAUUCCUGGUGUAGAGGUGAAAUUCGUAGAUAUCAGGAGGAACACCGAUGGCGAAGGCAGCUUUCUGGAC